AAUGGGUGGGAUUUGAAGAUGUGAGCUGGCUUGAAAUGCUCCGUGGACUGUACUAACUGCGUGUAUCACACGGUGGUUAGAAUGAUGGAUAAAUUAAAAUAUCUCAACGAACAGAGGGCCAUAUCAAAUCUUGGUAGAGAGGUACGCUAGCUGAAUCAACUUCGUAGAGCCACCACUAGGACCAUUUGCCCUCUUUGUC
rnacentral:lncRNA from 1 species